rnacentral:rRNA from 1 species
CGCAACCCUCGUCCUCUGUUGCCAUCAGGUCAAGCUGGGCACUCUGAGGAGACUGCCGGUGAUAAACCGGAGGAAGGUGGGAUGACGUCAAGUCAGCGAUGGCCUUUAUGUCCAGGGCUACACACGUGCUACAAUGGCAGAUACAAAGCGCUGCAAACUCGCAAGAGUGAGCUAAUCGCAUAAAGUCUAGUCUCAGUUCGGAUUGUAGGCUGCAACUCGCCUGCAUGAAGUUGGAAUCGCUAGUAAUCGCGGAUCAGCAUGCCGCGGUGAAUACGUUCCCGGGCCUU